rnacentral:rRNA from 1 species
AUUGAACGCUGGCGGCAGGCUUAACACAUGCAAGUCGAGCGAGCGGCGGACGGGUGAGUAAUGUCUGGGAAACUGCCUGAUGGAGGGGGAUAACUACUGGAAACGGUAGCUCAUACCGCAUACCAUCAGAUGUGCCCAGAUGGGAUUCGCUAGUAGGUGGGGUAAUGGCUCACCUAGGCGACGAUCCCUAGCUGGUCUGAGAGGAUGACCAGCCACACUGGAACUGAGACACGGUCCAGACUCCUACGGUAGGCAGCAGUGGGGAAUAUUGCACAAUGGGCGCAAGCCUGAUGCAGCCAUGCCGCGUGUGUGAAGAAGGCCUUCGGGUUGUAAAGCACUUUCAGCGAGGAGGCGUUACUCGCAGAAGAAGCACCGGCGAACUCCGUGCCAGCAGCCGCGGGAAUAC